UGCAGGGUGGGUGGAUGAACUAUAGUGCUGGCUGGCAGAGGGCAGGGUGUAGAGCGGUAUUGGGGUUCACUUUGGAAAACAAAAUUUGAUAGUAGGAUUUGAUGGUUCUUUGGAGAAGGGAACAUAUAAAAGGUAGGGUCUUGCUAAGUUGCCCAGGCUGGCCUCAAAUGUUUGAUCUUCCUGCCUCAGCCUCUUUGGUGCUAGGAUUACAGGUUGUCCUGGAACUCACUGUGUAACCCAGGCAGGACUUGAACUUGUGAUCCUCCCACCUGCCUCCUGAUUACAAGAAUUACCUGGGAUUAUAGUGUUCCCUGUUGCUGCCGCCGCACGCCAGAUCCACCGAAGGGACAGGGUGUCUGAGGAGGCUGAGGAGAGACUGCAGGGAUCCAACCUCUCCGGAUCCCAGGCCAGAGCACAGCGCCCCUCCCUGCCGGGGAGAAGCCCUGCUGGGCUCCUGAACGCCAGGCAGGAAAUUGGAAUGCAGCAAUCACAGUGGAAGGCAGCUGUAACUCUCGUUAAAGUGACAUCAACCCCACCGAGGGAGGAUGCUAUAAAUCCAGGGAAAGGGGGCAUUCAUCCAGGGAGAGCCACAAAAGCAAAGAAAAAAACCC
rnacentral:lncRNA from 1 species